CAUCGACAUAUUUUCUACCCCUAGUUCUUCUAACAGCACAUCCAAGCUGCCAAAUGACCUGCUUGAUUUGCAGCAGCCAACCUUUCAUCCAUCUGUCCAUGCUAUGUCAGCUGCUCCUCAGGUAGCAAGUACAUGGGGAGGAUUCAGUCCUUCUCCGGUUACACAGCCACAUCCUUCAGCUGGCCUUAAUGUUGACUUUGAAUCUGUGUUUGGAAAUAAGUCUACGAAUGUUGCUGUAGAUUCUGGUGGUGGACUUCUCAAACCAACAGUGGCCUCUCAGAACCAGAGUCUUCCUGUUGCCAAACUUGCGCCUAACAAAUUAGUGUCUGAUGACUUGGAUUCAUCUUUAGCCAACCUUGUGGGCAAUCUUGGCAUUGGAAAUGGAACCACUAAGAAUGAUGUAAGUUGGAGUCAACCAGGUGAAAAGAAGUUAACUGGAGGAUCUAACUGGCAACCAAAGGUUGCACCAACAACUGCCUGGAGUGCUGCAACAAUGGCACCCCCUGUAAUGGCCUAUCCUGCUACUACACCAACGGGCAUGAUAGGAUAUGGAAUUCCUCCUCAGAUGGGAAGUGUACCUGUAAUGACACAGCCAACCUUAAUAUACAGCCAGCCUGUCAUGAGACCGCCAAACCCCUUUGGCCCUGUACCAGGAGCACAGAUACAGUUUAUGUAACUAGAUGGAAGAGAAUGGAAUUACUCCAAGAAUAG
rnacentral:lncRNA from 1 species